AUACGGAGGGGGUUAGCGUUGUUCGGAAUUACGGGGCGUAAAGCGCACGUAGGCGGACUGGAAAGUUGGGGGUGAAAUCCCGGGGCUCAACCCCGGAACUGCCUCCAAAACUUCCAAUCUAGAGAUCGAGAGAGGUGAGUGGAAUUCCAAGUGUAGAGGUGAAAUUCGUAGAUAUUUGGAGGAACACCAGUGGCGAAGGCGGCUCACUGGCUCGAUACUGACGCUGAGGUGCGAAAGCGUGGGGAGCAAACAGGAUUAGAUACCCUAGUAGUCC
rnacentral:rRNA from 1 species